UACGAAGGGGGCUAGCGUUGUUCGGGAUCACUGGGCGUAAAGCGUGCGCAGGCGGACCUCCAAGUCAGGGGUGAAAUCCCGGGGCUCAACCUCGGAAUUGCCUUUGAGACUGUAGGUCUCGAGUCCGUGAGAGGGUGGCGGAAUUCCCAGUGUAGAGGUGAAAUUCGUAGAUAUUGGGAGGAACACCAGUGGCGUAGGCGGCCACCUGGCACGGUACUGACGCUCAUGCACGAAAGCGUGGGGAUCAAAC
rnacentral:rRNA from 1 species